AUUGAACGCUGGCGGCAUGCUUUACACAUGCAAGUCGAACGGUAACAGGCCUUCGGGUGCUGACGAGUGGCGCACGGGUGAGUAAUGCAUCGGAACGUGCCCAGAGGUGGGGGAUAACGCAGCGAAAGCUGUGCUAAUACCGCAUGUGAUCUGAGGAUGAAAGCGGGGGACCAGGCAGCAAUGUUUGGCCUCGCGCCUUUGGACCGGCCGAUGACAGAUUAGAUAGUUGGUGGGGUAAUGGCCUACCAAGCGGACGAUCUGUGGCUGGUCUGAGAGGACGAGCAGCCACACUGGGACUGAGACACGGCCCAGACUCCUACGGGAGGCAGCAGUGGGGAAUUUUGGACAAUGGGCGCAAGCCUGAUCCAGCAAUGCCGCGUGCGGGAAGAAGGCCUUCGGGUUGUAAACCGCUUUUGUACGGAACGAAAAGGCUCUGGCUAAUACCUGGGGCUGAUGACGGUACCGUAAGAAUAAGCACCGGCUAACUACGUG
rnacentral:rRNA from 1 species